CACGUAGGGUGCGAGCGUUGUCCGGAAUUAUUGGGCGUAAAGAGCUCGUAGGCGGUGUGUCGCGUCGAUCGUGAAAACUUGGGGCUUAACCCUGAGCUUGCGGUUGAUACGGGCAUCACUUGAGUUCGGCAGGGGAGACUGGAAUUCCUGGUGUAGCGGUGAAAUGCGCAGAUAUCAGGAGGAACACCGGUGGCGAAGGCGGGUCUCUGGGCCGAUACUGACGCUGAGGAGCGAAAGCGUGGGGAGCGAACAGG
rnacentral:rRNA from 1 species